rnacentral:rRNA from 1 species
GACGAACGCUGGCGGCGUGCUUAACACAUGCAAGUCGAGCGGUAAGGCCUUUCGGGGUACACGAGCGGCGAACGGGUGAGUAACACGUGGGUGAUCUGCCCUGCACUUCGGGAUAAGCCUGGGAAACUGGGUCUAAUACCGGAUAUGACCUCCUAUCGCAUGGUGGGUGGUGGAAAGAUUUAUCGGUGCAGGAUGGGCCCGCGGCCUAUCAGCUUGUUGGUGGGGUAAUGGCCUACCAAGGCGACGACGGGUAGCCGACCUGAGAGGGUGACCGGCCACACUGGGACUGAGACACGGCCCAGACUCCUACGGGAGGCAGCAGUGGGGAAUAUUGCACAAUGGGCGAAAGCCUGAUGCAGCGACGCCGCGUGAGGGAUGACGGCCUUCGGGCUGUAAACCUCUUUCAGCAGGGACGAAGCGCAAGUGACGGUACCUGCAGAAGAAGCACCGGCUAACUACGUG